rnacentral:rRNA from 1 species
AUGAACGCUGGCGGCGUGCCUCAUACAUGCAAGUCGAGCGAACGGACGAGAAGCUUGCUUCUCUGAUGUUAGCGGCGGACGGGUGAGUAACACGUGGAUAACCUACCUAUAAGACUGGGAUAACUUCGGGAAACCGGAGCUAAUACCGGAUAAUAUUUUGCACCGCAUGGUUCAAAAGUGAAAGACGGUCUUGCUGUCACUUAUAGAUGGAUCCGCGCUGCAUUAGCUAGUUGGUAAGGUAACGGCUUACCAAGGCAACGAUGCAUAGCCGACCUGAGAGGGUGAUCGGCCACACUGGAACUGAGACACGGUCCAGACUCCUACGGGAGGCAGCAGUAGGGAAUCUUCCGCAAUGGGCGAAAGCCUGACGGAGCAACGCCGAGUGAGUGAUGAAGGUCUUCGGAUCGUAAAACUCUGUUAUUAGGGAAGAACAUAUGUGUAAGUAACUGUGCACAUCUUGACGGUACCUAAUCAGAAAGCCACGGCUAACUACGUG